GACGAACGCUGGCGGCGUGCUUAACACAUGCAAGUCGAGCGGUAAGGCCCUUUCGGGGGUACACGAGCGGCGAACGGGUGAGUAACACGUGGGUGACCUGCCCUCAGCUCUGGGAUAAGCCUGGGAAACCGGGUCUAAUACCGGAUAUGACUCCAUGACGCAUGUUGUGGGGUGGAAAGCCUUGUGCGGCUGAGGAUGGGCCCGCGGCCUAUCAGCUUGUUGGUGGGGUGAUGGCCACCAAGGCGACGACGGGUAGCCGGCCUGAGAGGGCGACCGGCCACACUGGGACUGAGACACGGCCCAGACUCCUACGGGAGGCAGCAGUGGGGAAUCUUGCGCAAUGGGCGAAAGCCUGACGCAGCGACGCCGCGUG
rnacentral:rRNA from 1 species